UGACGUCACUGCAUUGUCAUUUUGUAUGUCACAUUACUGGAAGAUCAUUUUAACUAUUAUACAGUUAAUUUCAUAUUCCGAAUGAGUAAUAAGAGCUCACCGAGUAAGGCCCCAAUUCUAGAUUUAUCUAGCUUUUGCCCAAGUGCAUUCACCCUAACUUUCGUGGUCGAAGUAGUUGGAAUUGAUGUGUGGCAUGAUUGCAAUGAGGGAUGGCUAGACCUUGGACCAAUUGAUCAAGGCCUCAAGCUGACUUAUCAAUUGUAUCCUGGGCAGAUAUUUGAAGUGGAAAUUGUGAUAUGGCCACAUGUAGCGAAGGUAUAUUACGGAAAUAACUACGACUGGGUUAGAACGUGGCAGUUCUUAGAAAGAAGAUGGCUUACAUUCACAAUUCGCCAUGCGUAUCCAGUACGAGUGAUGGAACUGCGCAACUUCGUGGCAACUGUGGUUCCACAUGCUGGAUUGGGAGUUCUUAGUGCGACUGCUAAAGCCGAGAAGGCUACAGAAGUAUACCUGCCUCCUCUGCGAUUUAAUGAACGUCGUCAGUUCGCUCAAGUUGUGGAGUCAGAGUACCCCAUGAAGAAGUAUAUCGAAGAUAUGAUAUGGUUUCGCGUUGUUGUUUACAUACCGACCUCUUAUAUGGAUGGACUGUUUGAUACUCCGUAUCCAGUACAAGACAUAAGACACCAAGAUGCAGCACUGUUUCAAGUACAAAAUGUCAUCUUAAAUCGUGCAGUAGAAGAAGAAGUGGAAGAAUUGGAGGUUCCUACUGCCCCUGUGAAAAGCUCGAAAUUGAAACUUCCAGUCAAACAAGAGAAGAAGAAGCCUGUAGAAGUUAAAUAUGAAAUCAAGUUGUCUGGGGAUUGGUUAUUAGCCGGAAUAGGCAGAGUGAUACCAUUUCAAGUGGUUGGCGAUCAUCCUUCAGACCAAGGAGAAAUAAUGGUUGUGAUAAGCAGCACCAAUUUGCCCGCGCAAGAUGAUUACCCAGUUUUCUUCGUGAAUUCUUGCAAUCUCACUGAAAUUCCUACGGCACAUUUAAAGAAACACAGAUUUACGCAUAUUUAUACAAGGUGGACUCUCAGUGAAGAAGACCAUUCCUCAGAACGUCAAGCCUUAAACUCAAAAAAACUUAAAACAGAGAUUAAUUUCAAUGAUCAUCAUGCGGUGCCGUUGUCAAAUGUUUUGGCUUCGGAAAUUAUGUCUAUAUUUUUGGAUGAGCCUUUUCGAUUAGAGCUCCGCGGAAUAAGGACUCCACCACCAAUAACUGAAAAGCCGAAAUUUUUUGGUUACGAAAAAGGAGACCGUGAUUUCGGCAUAGGCGUCCCUCCUCCCUUUCCUAACCAGGAUGUGGAUAUUCUCAUCGCGCAGACAAGAAUUGAUGCAAGAGCUUUAACAAAAAUUAAUGGUACUCUCAAUGGAGAGUUUCCAUUGUAUCCCCCUGAAACAUAUUUGGUGCCAUUAGAACGCGAGGGAAUUUGCACGAACGAUAUUAAUGCAGUAAGGGCGAAGGUGCAGCCAAAUUUAGUUAUUCAACCAUCAGUUAUAUUAGAGGCACAGAUGACGUUAGAACUAUCUAUGGGUCUCGUUGGAUGCAAACCUCCGCAAUUAACUCAAAGAUAUUCUCGACUAUUCUGUCUUAUUAGCGAUGCUGCAGCUAUAAUGACUAUAUUACGACAGAUAACAGAAAUAAACGAGAACGUUUUGAUAUCAGGGAGUAGAGAAGGUUUGUUGACAGGAUUCGGAUUGGAUACAGGAGAUACGGUAAUGUUGUACGUAGAAGGUCCAAAGGAGGGACAGAUUCUGCGUGUUUGGGAACGUACGGAAGACUUUCAUCCAAUUGUGAAACCUGUUUUUUCGACUUCAGCCAAGUAUCGGGCCCGUUUGUAUCCCGAACUACUACUUGCUGCUAUGCCAUUUAACAUUUUGAAGAUGUUCGUUCCUCUGUCAGUAUUAUUAGGUUUGACACCGAUUUACGCUCGUCCAUCAUUACCAUUGCCAACUCGUACUGCAGUCCUCAAGAUAGGUCGUUUGGUGGCCAGUAAGUUCCAAUGGGCCCCGAGUCACCAUGAAAUGCCAACAGCCAUGGAACUCAAGAGCUUUAGAUUGGAGCUCUGCGUGGCACCGCGGCCCCCGCCCGUUAUCAUUACAGACACAACACCCAAAAUAAACAACUCACCUUCAUGUGCGUCAAUAGAGAAGAAAUCGCCUACCAUCACCGUUGAAAUUAUAGAUCACAAAUUAUCGGUUUCAAAUUCUGGUGACGGCUUGUAACAGUCAUCAUUCUUGGCCCUGAGAUUGGUGAUCUUAUACUGAGGUGGAUGUUAGAAUUCUUCCAAUUCAGGUCUCUCACUAAAUGGGGAAUUAUUACUGACAAGUACAACUUGUACAUGCCUACAAUCUUGGAUGAUACGACAAACAUCACUUGCUGUUCCAUUCAAAACAUUGUGAUUUCUGAUGCAAUGUGAUUAUGAUAUGUAGAAGACUUUCUGGUAAAAAAUGGGAGGUUAUCAAGUACACAAAAAUUACCUAUCUAUAGAGAUAGAUCCCUCGGACCAACAAAAUAUUCCUUCAGACCAAAGUGUAACGAGGAUCAAUUGGGACAGGAAACUCUAAAAGAAAACACUGAAUUCCCAAGAUACCUGCAAAUUCCUGAGGUUGGAGGGUAAUAAUUGAAAUGAAUCACAAUUUUUUAUUUUCAAUUUUUCUUUUGUAACCAUGUUAUCAUUGUUUGUUAUGUUUAUUUUGCACAGAUUUUUUACCUAUUGUUUAAAUUCAAAAUAAAAUGCA